GACGUAGGCUGCGAGCGUUGAUCGGAAUUACUGGGCGUAAAGGGUGCGUAGGUGGUUGAUUAAGUUAUCUGUGAAAUUCCUGGGCUUAACCUGGGACGGUCAGAUAAUACUGGUUGACUCGAGUAUGGGAGAGGGUAGUGGAAUUUCAGGUGUAGCGGUGAAAUGCGUAGAGAUCGGAAGGAACACCAGUGGCGAAGGCGGCUAGCUGGGCUAAUACUGACACUGAGGCAAGAAAGCGUGGGGAGCAAACAGG
rnacentral:rRNA from 1 species